rnacentral:tRNA from 1 species
UGGGGCGUAGCCAAGUGGUAAGGCAGCGGGUUUUGGUCUCGAUAUUCGAAGGUUCGAAUCCUUCCGUCCCAA